rnacentral:rRNA from 1 species
UAAGACGAACCGUGCGAACGUUGUUCGGAAUCACUGGGCUUAAAGGGCGCGUAGGCGGGUUCCCAAGUCCGGGGUGAAAUCUUUCGGCUUAACCGGAAAAUAGCCUCGGAUACUGGGAGUCUUGAGGGAGGUAGGGGCAGCUGGAACUUCCGGUGGAGCGGUGAAAUGCGUUGAUAUCGGAAGGAACGCCGGUGGCGAAAGCGAGCUGCUGGACCUCUUCUGACGCUGAGGCGCGAAAGCCAGGGGAGCAAACGGGAUUAGAUACCCCGGUAGUCCUGGCCCUAAACGAUGGGUACUAGGUAGUGGACUGGACAUGGGUUCCCUGCCGAAGCAAAAGUGUUAAGUACCCCGCCUGGGGAGUAUGGUCGCAAGGCUG